UCCCUAGUAGUCCAGAGGUUAAGACUCUACACUCCCUAUGCAGAGGCCCAGGUUUGAUCCUGGUCAGGGAA
rnacentral:tRNA from 1 species